AACGAACGCUGGCGGCAGGCUUAACACAUGCAAGUCGAACGGUUGUAGCAAUACAGCAGUGGCGCACGGGUGAGUAACGCGUGGAUAUCUGCCUUUUGGUUCGGAAUAACUCCGGGAAACUGGAGCUAAUACCGAAUGGUUCCUACGGGAUAAAGAUUUAUCGCCAAAAGAUGAGUCCGCGUACGAUUAGCUAGUUGGUGAGGUAAUGGCUCACCAAGGCGACGAUCGUUAGCUGGUCUGAGAGGACGAUCAGCCACACUGGGACUGAGACACGGCCCAGACUCCUACGGGAGGCAGCAGUGGGGAAUAUUGGACAAUGGGGGCAACCCUGAUCCAGCCAUGCCGCGUGAGUGAUGAAGGCCUUCGGGUUGUAAAGCUCUUUUGGCGGGGACGAUGAUGACGGUACCCGCAGAAUAAGCCCCGGCUAACUUCGUGCCAGCAGCCGCAGUAA
rnacentral:rRNA from 1 species